CUGGUUAUUAGUUUUUCAGGUGGACUUGGGUGCAUCUGCAAUAUCACAUUUGAGUCGACUUGCAGGUAUCAAUCAAGGUUGAAGACUGGCGAAAUUGUCCUUAUGGUUUUCUUGUUUCUUCUUUCACCGCCUCGUCUGCCCACAUCCUUCGCUCUCUCACCCAUAUCGUCAAAGGGUCUCCCUAAUCUCAAUUGCUAGAGCCAUUUGGAAUUGAUAUCUGCGGGGACUUGAUGUCUGUUUCGAGUUAGCCCAGGGUUCUCUAAAUAUCAUCACCAUCUCAGGCCGAGUAUCUGAAGCUAAUGGGGAAGGAGAAACACUUUGCAUGAUUCAAUUGUUUGGGAAUCUACUAUGCCGCAGAAUGGGGAAAUAUUGCAUUUCUAUAUUGUAGAUUGUUUGAAUGGGGAGUGCUUACACUCCAUUUGCGGUUUUAGUUAUAAAGCAAGGGGAUUUAUGUGAUUGUAAACAUUUGGUGACAGUAAGAACCAUGACUCAGGAACAGGUGUAUUCUAAUUACGCAUUUCACCACUCUUAUUGCUUUUGUCAGUGUAUAUACUAUAUUAGGUGAUUGUAGACAUUUGGAACAUGAUAAAGUUCAUACUUCAUAUGCCUCAAACAGCUUUGGAUUCAGGCUGAACUGGUGUAGUGCCUAUACUUAGUUCUGCCACUUACAUUUAUUCGUUUAAGAAACUAGUUAUUGACUUAUUGCUGUUGAAGUCUGAUGAGCAUAGUUCUUAAUUAACAGGACUUAACUUCCUUCUUGAUUGGUUUUUAUUUUUAUUUUUUUUAAUUAGAUUGAA